ACACAACCUCUGCGCAGAUCUACCUUUCCUCGACCUACCGUCUCCAGAGAAAUACAAUGCACUUUCAUUUUCUUUUCCGGCGUUCUCCUGCCCGAACCUGAUGGCCUUUCGGGUUCCUCGGCGUGGUGCCUUGGGUCUCCGUGCUUCGACGCCCGUCCCCGGCGACGCCCCAAUGACGGGGAGGAGGCAUCUCAGUGCGUGGUAUCUCAGGGCCCAGUGCAUUCACAUUAUUCCACAGGGGGGGGUGGCCGAGCAGCCCCCUCCCGCUAUCCCCUUUCCUGCCAGCUGCAGAGCCGCUUCUGCUGGUGACAGGGCCAUCCCCCCUACGUCGUAGGGGGGGUCAGAGCGAUGCAUCGCUGUUGAUGUCGGCGGUCGAGGCCCUGGAUGGCGUUGCAUCGGAGCCACCUGCGACAGCGAACGCGUCUGUGCCAUCCGCCUGAUGGGCGAAGUGUCGGCGUGACUCGAGCGCAUAUCAGACGGUCCUCGCUGCCUACUGGUGUGGGGAGCGUGAGCCACCCCGAGGGUCGCACGAGGUGGUGACCGGCACCAUGGGCAUGGCUGUGAGGCGACCUGCGAGGAGGCUGGGGGGAGGGGAGGAGCUUGAGGCAGGGGCCGAGCUCAGAUGACUGGGUCGGCGCAUUGCUGUAGCGCGCGCCUGCGGCUUCUUCGCACCACGUGGGUGGGGCCUGCGACUGGCCGGUGUAGAGGGGAGUGCUGCUCGUGCUUCUUGCCAGUUAAGGGAGAUGUUGGCACACCAAAAAUGUAACGUUGAUACUUAGGCUCUUCUUUACUUCCCUCCUUUUUCUUUGCAG
rnacentral:misc_RNA from 1 species